UUAAACCAUUCACAGUCAUUCAAAAUCAUUCACAAUUCAUCACAGUGUCCAUUCCAUGAGAAAAUAAAAAAAAAUGAACUUUGACUGAAUGUUGACUUUGAUCAACAAUUGACUUUUUGGUCACGUUUGACCAAAGUCAACCGAAUUUAUCAUGAACCAUUGAACCUUUUAUCAUGAACCAUUAGACCUUUUAUCAUGAACCAUAAGCCUUUGGAACUAUUUCUAAUUUCAACUUACACAUUCAAGAACAUUAAAUCCAUAAUCCAACCUACACCAAUUCUCACUUCUAUACACUUCCAACCAUUGGUUUACAUAUUGAUUUGGUUCCAACCACAUCUAAACCAUAACCUACACAUGAUUAACUCAUACGCAAAUCCAAACAUUCCACUCAAAUUACCAACUUCAUAAGAGCACAAGCUCAUGACAUGAAGUUCAAAUUUUUAAUUCAAAACCUAUAUCAUACAAUCAUGACAAUCCUACCAAAACUAGAUCUACAAGUUGGUUCGUCGAUCCUUCGACACAGACCAAGCACUUCCCUUGCUGCUGCUGCCAACCGAAGCAUUAAUUCAUUAACAUAACCGUUGACCUACAAAACAGAGUUGAAAUUGUAUCAUGUUAGGAUUCCAUUCAUACUUAAAUUAACCAAAAAGCAAUUGCAUAGCCGCACCCUGCAGUGCACCUCAUAUCAUACCACCAACCUGCAUUCAACAACCAUUAGACCUACACAACCUUCAACGAGAAGCUCUGCAACAAGCCCUACACAAUCCAUAUUUCUAUAACCUACAUCAUAAGCCAAGCAACAAUACAACAAGUCAAGAUCAUUACAAUAAUACAAAACAACAAUUUGCAACAGGGCCAUGAUCAAACUUGAAUAACACAACCAAACAGUCAAUGCAUUAGCCAUCCAAAACCCCAUGAAAAUCUCCAGCAAGCCUAGCAGUUCAAUAACACACUACAACAUGGCAUUUACAAAAAUCAAGAAAACAACUAACCUCACCAUUAACCUUUAAUUGAACAAUAACUAGCCAUUUUGUCUUCCAUCUAAUCACCACUUUCUAUACAAUAACAAAUGCCAACCCAAAGCAGAAUUGAAACAGAAAGCAUGAUCAUUCCAGUCAGUGGGAAGUUGAAUCCCAAACUAGGUUCUUUUCCUAAACAAAACUUAGUCCAAUAUCCCAAGGAUUAAAGAAUUGAGCAGAAUUUUCGUCCUGCAGGUCUGGAACAGGAAUGGGUUUUAAAGAAGUUGAAUCAAAUACAAGGGCUAACCAUCUAGUCCAUUAAACUUAGGAGAAAACCAAAUUAGCCCAGUUGGCAUUUCAAUUCAGUUUCCAUUUUGUUAACAAAAUAUAUAUAUGAUUAACUAACUCAUGAAUUGCACCUCAUUAUAACAACAACCUAACAAACAAUUUCUAACAACAUUUCAUUUUACAAAUAAUAUUUCAUUUUACAAUUUCUAACAACAUUCAAUUUCAAAACAAUUUCUAACAAUAUCAUUUCAUUCCAAUUUUAUAACAGCAAAAUUUCAUCAACUAACUAUCACAUAACAUUUUUUUGAAUAACUAUAGACAUCAGCAGAGGGCAUUUCGAAGGAAGGAAAACAAAUUGCAUUUCACAGUAAAUUUCAGUAAAAUUGCAUUUUAAAUCUGAGUUCAUUUAAUUGCACUGCAAAGCCCGGCUUCAAUUUUCAUUUUCAUUUCAUUUAAAUCUGAGUUUUAGUUGUCAUUUCCCAAAAUCUGAAUUUCCAACUAACAUUCUCAUUUGUAACUAAUUCUAAAUUCCAACUGAAUUUCAUUGACAUUUCAAAACAAUUUUUAUCCCUAACUAAGUCUUGAAUUUCAGUGACAUUUGAAGUGAAUUUCUAACUAUAAAUUUCACCUGAAUUUGGAGCAAGUUUCUAACAGAAUCUGAACUGCUAUAAAGAUAACCUCACUGCAACUUAUGGAGGGGCUUGAUGGUCCUGCAAUUCACACUCAAAAUCUUCUUCUUCAACAACUUCAAUUUUCUUCACACAAGAGAUUCAUGGUCCUUCACUACCAAGCGCUUCAAUGUUCUUCACGACCCAAAGCCUUAACCUUCUUCACUGUCCAAACUCCCAUCUUCAACCAAUUUCUCCAUUCUGAAAACGACUAGCAGACCCUAUAGAGCGAACAGAAGCACAACAAUCAACAAGAAGCAACAACGUGCACGGCGGAACGGGAAGAGAAGAAGUACACACAACAACAAAACAUAUCCACCAAAAGAACACAGCAGAAUUCGCAAGAGGAAGAGCAGCUCGUAACAGAAAACGUAACAACAUAAAAAAGGGAGGUGAAAUCGGAGAAGAGUAGAAGGAAAGAGAAUGAAAAUUUUGUACCUGUAAUCACCACGUCGAAAUUUCGCUCUAUCUUGGAUCCGAAUUUGAAGUUAUCCAUGGCUUGCGCUAGAGCGUUCGAAUUAAGAAGGAGGUUUUUUCAGUCUUGAAGAUCGGUCUCUACUCUCUAUCCCGAGGUCGAAGCUUCCCUGAAGAUUCACCGUUCAAACUCGCAUCUUCAUCUCAUUUCAACACUCUUCAUAUUGCUCCACCGCAAGUCAAAAAUCCAAGUGCAGCUCCAAGGCACCUCACGCGGUAAUCGUUCUGUUUUGUUCGCAUCACGUUUCCGAUCUGGUUAGUUCAUCUGUAUCGUCCUUCCUUUUGAUUUCGUCUCUUUCUCUUCCGUGUACACCAAAUAAAGCAAAUCAUAGUGACGAAUGGUUCUGGUGCCCGUUUUUACUUCCGUCGUGCCGUUUAAAUGUGGGAGAGCAUGAAGCUGGAAGAGGAGUGUUGGAGAAGAAGCUGGUGAAGGUCUCAGGAUGUGAGAGGCUGAUGAUUCGUUUUGAUGGUUGAACCGAUUGGAGCUGGG
rnacentral:lncRNA from 1 species